AGAGUUUGAUCAUGGCUCAGAUUGAACGCUGGCGGCAGGCCUAACACAUGCAAGUCGAACGGUAACAGCAGAGCUUGCUCUGGCUGACGAGUGGCGGACGGGUGAGUAACGCGUAGGAAUCUACCCAGUAGUGGGGGACAACUUGGGGAAACUCAAGCUAAUACCGCAUACGCCGGGAAAGCGGGGGAUCUUCGGACCUCUCGCUUCUUGAUUAGCCCAAGUGAGAUUAGCUAGUAGGUGAGGUAAAGGCUCACCUAGGCGACGAUCUCUAGCUGGUUUGAGAGGAUGAUCAGCCACACUGGGACUGAGACACGGCCCAGACUCCUACGGGAGGCAGCAGUGGGGAAUAUUGCACAAUGGGCGCAAGCCUGAUGCAGCCAUGCCGCGUGUGUGAAGAAGGCUCUAGGGUUGUAAAGCACUUUAAGCAGGGAGGAAGGCCUUAAGAUUAAUAAUCGGCGACUGUGACGUUAGCAACAGAAGAAGGACCGGCUAACUCCGUGCCAGCAGCCGCGGUAAUACGGAGGGUCCGAGCGUUAAUCGAAUUACUGGGCGUAAAGCGCACGCAGGCGGUUUGUUAAGUUAGAUGUGAAAGCCCCGCGCUCAACGUGGGAGGGUCAUUUAAAACUGGCAGGCUAGAGUCUUGGAGAGGGGAGUGGAAUUCCAGGUGUAGCGGUGAAAUGCGUAGAUAUCUGGAGGAACAUCAGUGGCGAAGGCGACUCCCUGGCCAAAGACUGACGCUCAUGUGCGAAAGUGUGGGUAGCGAACAGGAUUAGAUACCCUGGUAGUCCACACCGUAAACGAUGUCUACUAGCUGACUAGUUGUUGGGCAUUAGCUCAGUGACUAAGCGAAAGUGAUAAGUAUCCCACCUGGGGAGUACGGUCGAAAGACUGAAACUCAAAGGAAUUGACGGGGGCCCGCACAAGCGGUGGAGCAUGUGGUUUAAUUCGAUGAUACGCGAGGAACCCUACCAGGGCUUAAAUGUAGUCUGACAGCUUUAGAGAUAGAGUUUUCUUCGGACAGAUUACAAGGUGCUGCAUGGUUGUCGUCAGCUCGUGCCGUGAGGUGUCAGGUUAAGUCCUAUAACGAGCGCAACCCCUGUCGUUAGUUGCAAGCAAGUAAAGUUGCGGACUCUCACGAGAAUGCCUCAGCAAGUAGAGAGGAAGGUGGGGAUGCAGUCAAGUCCUCAUGGCCCUUACGUCUGGGGCUACACACGUGAUACAAUGGCGGGUACAGAGGGUCGCGAAGGGGUGACCUGGAGCCAAUCCCAAAAAGCCCGCCUCAGUUCGGAUUGAAGGCUGCAAUUCGCCUUCAUGAAGCCAGAAUCGCUAGUAAUCGCGUAUCAGAACGACGCGGUGAAUACGUUCCCGGGCCUUGUACACACCGCCCGUCACACCAUGGGAGUGGGUUGCUCCAGAAGUAGAUAGUCUAACCCUCGGGAGGACGUUUACCACGGAGUGAUUCAUGACUGGGGUGAAGUCGUAACAAGGUAACC
rnacentral:rRNA from 1 species